CGCGUGGCUCCGGGUUCCGGUCCCUGCCGGUUGGAGUGAAAGUCGCGUCGGAGCCGCACGUGACCGGGAGCGGUCCGCUGGUGAAGGGAGGGGAGUCGGGGUCGCGAUGUGGCAGGGUUGCCUAGUAACGGCAGUUCGAGCUGGCGGAAGGCCUCGGGAUGUGAGGGAGAAGCGGCGGUGGGAGGAGGGGUUCACUUGUUUCGAGAUGAUUCUUUUUAGAUGAGCACAUAGUGGACAGUCGGAGGCUGGGCAGGCAAAAGGAGACACUACAACCUCUCAGAAACUGCACUGCAGGAACGAAUGACUGAAUUAGACUGCCUGCUUGAACCAAUUAAUGACCAACCUAAAGGGUGUUCCUCUGGCAAAGUAGAAAUUCUUCCAUUUAUGUUACAUGUUAAAGUCCCAGGCUGGAGUAUGAGCCUAUCAGAAAAAAACUCCAGCUGUUUGCAAUAAAUAUCAAUGAUUUGGACACAGGAAUCAAUUGUAAUUUUUCCAUUUUUUUCGCUUGAUGUAAUUCUAAGCAGGGAUGUGAAUAGUGGAAUGCCCUGCCUGCCAAUGUAGUUAACUCAGCCACAUUAGCAGCAUUUAAACAGUCCUUGGAUAAGCAUAUGGAUGAUGAUGGGAUUGUGUAGGGGAUUGGGCUGAGAUUAGUUCACAGGUCAGCACAAGAUUGAGGGCCGAAGGGCCUGAUGUGCGCUGUAUUGUUCUAUGUUCUAUGUUCUAGUGAGAAAGAUAUAAAAUGGCUUCUGGAGAAUUUUGACAGACUUAGUGAAUGAACAAGAACAUGGUAGAUGGAACAUACAGUAUAAAAAUGACAUUAUCCUCUGGUAGGAGGAACAGAUGUGCAGAGAAUUUCUUGAAUGAUGAGACAUUGAAAAGUGUGUAAAUGUGUAAAGGGACUUUGGGAUCCUUGCUAAUAAGUCACUGAAGGCUAACAGGCAGGUGCAACAAUUAAUUAGGAAGGAUAAUGGAAUGUUAAACAAACACAAAAUGUUAGAGAAACUCAAGCUCUGGCAGCACCUGUGGGGAGAGGAGCAAAUGUUUAAAAUCCGAUAUGACUUCUUCAGAAUUGCUUUUCUUUUCCAUUGUGGGGUAGGGUGGAAUCAAUGACAGUCACUAAGGGAGAUGUGGCUGUGAAAGCAUGUUUGCCAAACACUUUAUCAAGCACUAGGAAGGGGAUAAAAAUAUGUCUAAAGAUUAGCAGAAAUCCAUUUGGAAAAUUAGAACUUCAAUGUGGACAUACCUGGAAGAAAAGUGUCAAUGAAUUAAGAGAUAAUGGGAAUGGCAGAUGCUGGAGAAUCUGAGAUAACAAAGUGUGGAGCUGGAUGAACACAGCAGGCCAAGCAGCAUCUUAGGAGCACAAAAGCUGAUGUUUCAGGCUUAGAGAAGUGUCUAGGCCCGAAAAAUAGGCCCGAAACAACAGCUUUUGUGCUCCUAAGAUGUUGCUUGACCGGCUGUCAAUGAAUUAAUAUUGCAGGCGCAGGAAAUCUGAAAUAAACACAAAAUGUUAGAGAAAUUCAGUAGGUCUGGCAGAAUCUGUGGAGAGCAAAAUAAAGUUGGCAUUUCGAGUCUGAUAUAACUUCUUCAGAACCGGAAUGUUAGCCUUUAUUGCAAGAUAAUUUGAGUAGAGGUGUCGUGAAGUCUUGCUUCAGUUGUACUGAAGCUUAAGUAGACCACACAUGGAGUUAUAUGUACACUUUUGAUUUCAUUACCGCAAAAAGAUAUUGCCACAUCGGCAGUGCAACAUAAGUUCAUGAGACUUAUUCCUUGUUUGGCACGACCCUCCAUGAAGAGUGAUUGGGCAAAGUAGCCUAUAUUCUGUAAAGUUUCAAAGAAUGACAGGCAAUGUCAUUGAAAUCUACAAAAUACUUAAAGGGAUAGGCACGGGGCAGAAAGGGACAGAUAGACGAAGAGGCAAUUCAGCUCAUUGAAUCUGCACCAAUGCGCCAAAGAGCACCCCACCAAAACUCUCUCCCACCCCCAGUGUAAUCCCUGGAUGGCUAAUCUGCCUUGCCUGCAUAUCCCUGGACACUGCAGGGCAAGCCUAGUCCUCACCUGCACACCUUUAGACUAUGGGAGGAGAUGAGAGCUCCUGAAUGAAACCCAUGCAGAUAGGGGGCGAAUGAAGCUCCACACAGACAGCCACCUGAGGGUGGAUUCGAACACAGGUCCCUGGCACAGUGAGGCAACAGGGCUAACCAGUUGGAGGUUAGUCAUUUCCGCAAUUGAGUAGUCUAAACAAAGCUUAAAAAUAAGAUAAAAAAACUUUCACUCAGAAAGUUGUGAACCUUUGGAAUUUACUACCCCAGAGGGUGCAAAGUUCAGGUUUGGGUGUAUUUGAGAAGUAAAGAUCAAUCAUUUCUUGAUCACCAAUGACCUAAAGGGUUAUAGGAUUGGGGUGGAUUAAGGCGAUUCAAGUGUCUGACCAGCCAUGAUUGUAUUAAAAUGCGAAGCAGGCUCAACAGACUGCGUAACCUAUUCCUAUCCCCUUUUGACAGAGCUAUGAAGAAUAACAGUAAACCAAGCAUAUAGCACUGGAGAUUUGGAAUGGAAUUUUGUCAUCUCCUUAUCCCAGUAGGCCAUGUGAUGAAGAGUAAUAGUUUAUUGUAUCUAGAAGUGAGAGAAAUUCACUUCUGAUUCGAAAAGUACAAUCAGAAAAAUUCAUAUAGACUAAGCAAUUGUAGUUAGUUCUCAAGAGUGUAAAUAUAUUUUACACAGGGCAGUCUGAUAAUUUGCAUCGGAGUGGCAUAGGCUGUUUUCUUGACUUUGAAGUAGUUUUUUUUAUUAGAUUCCCUACGGUGUGGAAACAGGCCCUUCAGCCCAACAAGUCCACACCGCCCCUUGCAGCAUCCCACCCUAUAUCUGUUAGCUGAUGACCCUAACUACAGAGUUGAGUGUUACUUUAAAAUGUUAUUUUAAAGACCUGAAUGAAGAAAAUUUAGUUCCUGACCAUGAAUGCUGAGGCAGGAAUGAUUAGGACUGAAGAACCUUUAUACAACAAAAAGCCUUUUACAUCGCUUAUGUUAAGUUUUUUUUACCUCCAGUAAUGAUUCUGUUUAUAAAUUCAUACUCUUUGACACAAGUCAGUAAAUGAAGGAACCACUGUCUGACAAAGAACCUAUCUAUCAGUGCCUUUUUUUUAAAAAAUGGACCAAUCGUUUCAUUAUGUUAAACUUUGAGAAAAAGCCUGUGCCUUCAAAACAUUUUUGCCUGUGUUUAAUAUUUCAGAGAUACAAGUGUGUGUUUGAUGUAAAUGACUCCUGGAUUGAAAAAUAUUAUAUUGGAAAUCUGAGUUAAGUGGCCCCCUAUGGACAUAUAAGUGCCUCCAUAUUUCCUUUCUUACCUCACCAGAUUAGGGAGCCAUUUUCAAAAUGCAGAUUUAACCAUGAGUAUAUUGACAUUAAAUGUCAGAUGCACAUGCUAUAGUUUUGCUGCAAGUUUGAACCAUGCUUUAGUCAGAGAAUGUAACAUACUGAAUAAUUCUGCUUUCGGCUGUGUCAGGAUAUCUGAAAGUCAGUGCUUGAAACUGAACAGAUGGUUAAAAACAUGAGAAAGUCUAGAAAUUGUUUUUUGUGAAAAUAAAACUGAGUACAAUGGAUGGAAGUUAACGCUUCAUGAUGCAAACCCUUAGAAAAUAGAUGACAGGUUUAGACAGAGGAUCUCGAUUGGCACAGGCUUGGAGGGCAGAAGGGCCUGUUCCUGUGCUGUAAUUUUCUUUGUUCUUUGUUUCCUUCCCGUUUAUAACUAUUAUUUUGAAACUGUUACCAAUAUUCUUGUCAAAGUAUUCCUUCAGUUAAAAUUUCAAUUUCAUUGUAUUGGCUGCUAGCAUCUGUUAGCUAGCAAUGGUGAAAAGGAUCAUUUAAAGAGAAAUAGAACAUCGAACAUCAUAUCUGUGCCAACUGCAAUGCAAUUCUAAACUAAUUGUAUCUGGCUGCAAAUUUUCCAUAUCCCUCUAUUCCCUGCCUGUUCAUGUGCCUCUCAAACAUUGCUAGCAUAUCUGUUGCCACUCUAGCUGUGCGUUCCAGGCAUUUACGUUCCAGGCCUCUACAUAAAAAAAAAAUUUCCUCUCUCAUCUACUUUUAAACGUUUCGCCUCUCACCUAUCCCCUCCUUGUAGUCGAUUUUUUCCACUUAUGGCAAAAGUUUCCAACUAUCCACCCUAUCCAUGCCUCUCAUUAUUCUACAUGCUCCUAUCAGGUCAUCCCUCAGCCUCCAAUGCUCUGGCAAAAACAAUCCAAGUUUAUCCAAUCUCACUUUGUACCUAAUACACUCUGAUCCAGACAACAUUCCUGGUUAAUUUUUUGUGCACCCUCUCGAAACCCCUCUAUCUUUGCUAUUGUAUGGCAACGGGAACUGCAUGUGCAAUUUCAAAUGUGGCUUCACUAAAGUCUCAUACAGCUGCACCAUGACUUGCCAAUUUUUAUACUCAAUUCCCGACUGAUUAAAGCAAGCGUGUUGUCCGCCUUCUUCGCUAUCUUAUCCAUUUGUGUUGCAACCCUUAGGGAGCUGUAGACUUGUAUUCUAAGAUCCCCCUAUAUAUUAAUGCUCCUAAGUGUCCUGCCAUUUACUGUAUUCUUUCUUCUCCAAAUGCAUUUUGCUUCAAGCAAGACAUUAGUUAAGUGAGGGUUCCAGGCAUACAAUUAAAUAUGUUAUAACCCUAAAACUUGUUUCUAUGCUAACAAACACUGGUUAAACAAUCACAAUAUCUCACCAGAUACUUGUAUUACCAAGUGCUAAUCUCUAAGGGACAGUUGGGCAACUUGCUCCCUACCUUUUCCUUAGAGGCGUGUGAGUGCAACAAGCAAACAUUAUUUUAAUGCCCUUUUCUUUCCUUCUGUGCCUUCACUGUUCCCAGUCAUGUAAUUUUGCCUUGCAGACUUUUUGAAACCAAAAGCUUGGCCAAGUUAAUGACUAAUAGUUCAGAAUAUUGGUAAACAUCAGAAAAUAGUAGUGAUGAACAAUCAACUCAAAGCAAAUUUCUGAAAAUACCGGAAGAAGAAUUAUGUUAGAUUCAAUUUAAAUGUUGCUCUCUCUGCAGCCAAUGCCAGACCUGCUGGGUUUUCUCCAGCAUUUUCUGUUUUUAUUAGUGAUGAACAGUUCUCUUUUAGACUGAAGGGAAGUCCACAGUUUUGUCUCCAAGGACUGUUGUACUUCAUAAGAUACAUACUGACCUAUUUGAUUUUGGCGUGGAAUUUCAAAGUUUGUAAAUGACAUGAAAUGUACAAAUGUAAUAAACAAUGAUCAGGAAAAGACUUUAGGAGGCCAUAGGCUAGACAGGCAUGUGGGAAAAUACACUUAGUGAAGAGAAAUGUGUAGUAAUUCAUUUUGUUAGAGAAAUUGUGGAAAAGUUAAGAUCUAAAUGAAGCUAUUUUAAAAAGGAUGCAGAACCAGAGCUUUAGGGUUUAUACACAUAAAACUUUGAAACUGGCAGGACACGAUGAUAAACUUGUUAUCUGUUGGCUCAUAUAGAGCAAAAGCUAUGAUGUAUUCAGCUGUUCAAGCUAAUUAAUCAUGUCACGUAUAAUGGACUGCAUUGCUGUGAUGCCUCUUUCACCUUUGCAGAUGAAGAGUUGCAUCUUCAUGUCUUCGAUGACUAUUCUAAGUGAUCGCAGUCACACACUGGCAAUUUGUUAAAAUUCUCCACUUUUGCAUCAAAUAUUUGCUAAUUAAGACUGUUUAAAAAGUCAUAUGGGAUCCGUGACUUCUGACUGGAGGCACAGAUUACAAAAGGAAAGUUACACUGAAUCUUCAUAGAAGUCCUAAUGAGACCUCAGAUGGAGCAUUAAGGUCAAUCCUAGGCACUCCACUUUAAGAAUGAUAUCAAGUCUCAGAUACAAUGGGAUACAUUGAAAUGAUACCAGGGAAGCAGGAUUCCAUUUACAAGGAAGAAUUUAAAGAUUGUUCUGUUUAAAGCAAGUGGCUAAAGGAACAUUAGAUGUGGUUCUCUAAUUAUGAAGGCUUUCGAUUGAAUAAGGAGAAACUGUUUUCAGUGGCAAACUCCCCACUAUGAAAGGACAUGAAUUUAAGAUAAUUGACAAAUGAAGUGGAGUAAACUUGAGAAUGUUUUUUGUAAUAUAGUGAGCUGUUAGGAUUUGAAUGCUCUACCUGAAUGUGAUAGAAGCAAUUUCAGUAGCAACAAUUGAAAAGGAAUUAGUUCAGUACUAAAAGAGAAAACCUGUUCGGUGGUCAAGUCAAAGAGUGGGGUGUUAGGGUUAUUUGAUUACCUUUUAAAGAGCCAUCACUGGCAGAAUGAAUGGAAAGGCCCUCUUUCAGGCUGUAUCACUCUGAAAACCAUAUUUAUAAGUUUGCUUGUAUGAUCUUUCCUCUUUGAGCUUUCUGCAUAUUUUUGAAUUAUUUCUACCGGUUUAGUAACAGUUUUUUUGUUGGGGUUGGGGAUUAUUUGAAGUUCCUUGUUUUUGUAGGUUGUGUGGAAAUACUUACCAAUUUUAAAACCCUAUUUUUCAACAGAAUUUUUAAGUCAUUCAGACAGUUAUUGAUAAAAUGCAAGUAAUUAAAUAUACAUUGAGUCACUUUUAAAAUCUGUGUCAUAGUGCAUUACUACCUUAUUACAAUGAAAAGUGUAACUGACCUGGCAGACUGCUUUAGAAAGUUUGUAGACAUGUUGACAUUAUGGAUUGUUUAAAAUGAAACAUCAAUUACCAAAAAAAAAGUCUACUUCCGUCUAUUAAUGAUCAAACCUGGUUCUCACUAAGAUGUCCCUGUAUCGGAACAUAUAAAUUUGGUGCUGACUCUCUGGUAAAUACAGGCGAUAAUUUUUUUAAACAAGUUUUGUUAAAUGGAAGGUUUUCAGGAGGGCAUCUAGCUAAUUUUGUUUCAUGGCAUUGUGCUUAAUGGUGUUAUAAUAUUUUUAAUCAUUGUGCUAGAUCAAAAAAUUAGUAGAAAAUUGAAUUCACUAUGUUGCACAUUGCUAUAGUCAUCUCAUACUUGUGAGACGAUACAAUUGAUUUUAAAUAAUAAAAGGGAAUGUUCAGAGAAAUAUUUUGUAAUUGUUCAGAGACCAGAUGUGCUUUUUUCAAAAGAAAAUAUUUUUAUUAAUAAAUCGAAUCUCUGAAAAUUUGUGUAUGUUGGUCCUAAGACUAUGUAAGUCUGCAACUAGGUCAGUGUUCCGCCCUUGCAUGCACAGUAGUGCUACUUUUCAUCUGUUUCCUGUUUAAGGACAUAAAAAGAGGAGAGUUGUAAACAUUUCUGCAGACUGAGUUCUACAUAAAUGCAUUUGAAACUGCAAAUGUGAAGAACUUGUGUGUAUUUUGGAACUUCCUUUAACUUUUCUCCUUGAAAUGCAUGUCAAACGAUUUAAUAAUUUCUAGUUUCCAAAGAGAUGUGGACGCAAUGAAGUCCAUGACCAUUAAUGAAUUGGACAGUGAUAAAAUUGUGCAUUUGGAACAAAAGCCAAUAGAUUUUGUUUAGUCUGUCAUUUUUUAAAACUGGUAUUUAUAAAUUUUAUAGAUAAAAUUGAAUAGACAAGGGAUUAACCAUUACGUACAUCCUUUGGCUUUUAUUCAAAAGAUACCAAAACUGCUGAUAACAGUCUUUUAUUUUGAGGGCUUGCAUUUCUAUAAAAAAGUUACAAAGUGAAGAAUAUGCCUUUCUUAAAUAUGUUUGGGAAAAGUUUUCGAAAAAAAUUGCUUUACUGUUUUUGUUGUCGUAAAUUGUGCAAUAAAAUUGCUCAG